GACAGAGGAUGCAAGCGUUAUCCGGAAUUAUUGGGCGUAAAGCGCGCGCAGGCGGUCCUUUAAGUCUGAUGUGAAAGCCCACGGCUCAACCGUGGAGGGUCAUUGGAAACUGGGGGACUUGAGUACAGAAGAGAAGAGUGGAAUUCCACGUGUAGCGGUGAAAUGCGUAGAGAUGUGGAGGAAUACCGAUGGCGAAGGCAGCCCCUGGGCCAAUACUGACGCCUCAUGCACGAAAGCGUGGGGAGCAAACAGG
rnacentral:rRNA from 1 species